rnacentral:rRNA from 1 species
CCUACGGGAGGCAGCAGUAGGGAAUCUUCCACAAUGGGCGAAAGCCUGAUGGAGCAACGCCGCGUGAGUGAUGAAGGCCUUCGGGUUGUAAAACUCUGUCAUUCGGGACGAACCGGAGUCUGAGGAAAUGCAGACUCUCUGACGGUACCGGAGGAGGAAGCCCCGGCUAACUACGUGCCAGCAGCCGCGGUAAUACGUAGGGGGCAAGCGUUGUCCGGAUUCACUGGGCGUAAAGCGCGCGCAGGCGGUGAUGUAAGUCUGAGGUGAAAACCCGAAGCUCAACUUCGGGACUGCCUUGGAUACUGCGUCACUUGAGGAUAGGAGAGGCAAGGGGAAUUCCACGUGUAGCGGUGAAAUGCGUAGAGAUGUGGAGGAACACCUGUGGCGAAGGCGCCUUGCUGGCCUAUUUCUGACGCUGAGGCGCGAAAGCGUGGGGAGCAAACAGGAUUAGAUACCCUGGUAGUCCACGCUGUAAACGAUGAGUGCUAGGUGCAGGUGGGCUCAUACCCAUCUGUGCCGAAGCUAACGCAUUAAGCACUCCGCCUGGGGAGUACGGUCGCAAGACUGAAACUUAAAUGAAUUGACGGCUUGAGGACGNGCGAGGCGACGACGAGGGAGAGG